UACGUAGGGGGCAAGCGUUGUCCGGAUUUACUGGGCGUAAAGGGCUCGUAGGCGGCCAACUAAGUCGGACGUGAAAUCCCUCAGCUUAACUGGGGAACUGCGUCCGAUACUGGAUGGCUUGGAUUUGGGAGAGGGAUGCGGAAUUCCAGGUGUAGCGGUGAAAUGCGUAGAUAUCUGGAGGAACACCGGUGGCGAAGGCGGCAUCCUGGACCAAUAUUGACGCUGAGGAGCGAAAGCCAGGGGAGCAAACGGG
rnacentral:rRNA from 1 species